rnacentral:rRNA from 1 species
CCCUUAGAUGUUCUGGGCCGCACGCGCGCUACACUGAUGCAUUCAACGAGCCUAGCCUUGACCGAGAGGUCCGGGUAAUCUUUGAAACUGCAUCGUGAUGGGGCCAGAUUAUUGCAAUUAUUAAUCUUCAACGAGGAAUGCCUAGUAAGCGUGAUUCAUCAAAUCGCGUUGAUUACGUCCCUGCCCUUUGUACACACCGCCCGUCGCUCCUACCGAUUGAGUGUGUUGGUGAGGAGUUCGGAUUGGCUCUUAGUGGUGGUUCGCCACCACCUAGAGCUGAGAAGUUCUCCAAACCGCCCCACUUAGAGGAAGGAGAAGUCGUAACA